rnacentral:rRNA from 1 species
CCUACGGGAGGCAGCAGUAAGGAAUAUUGGUCAAUGGGCGCAAGCCUGAACCAGCCAUGCCGCGUGAAGGAUGACAGCCCUAUGGGUUGUAAACUUCUUUUGUACGGGAAAAAACCUCUGGUCGUGUAUCAGAGCUGAUGGUACCGUAAGAAUAAGCAUCGGCUAACUCCGUGCCAGCAGCCGCGGUAAUACGGAGGAUGCAAGCGUUAUCCGGAUUCAUUGGGUUUAAAGGGUGCGCAGGCGGAGUGAUAAGUCAGUGGUGAAAGCCUACAGCUUAACUGUAGAACUGCCAUUGAUACUGUCAUUCUUGAGUAUUGUAGAGGUAGGCGGAAUGUGUCAUGUAGCGGUGAAAUGCUUAGAUAUGACACAGAACACCGAUCGCGAAGGCAGCUUACCAAGCAAUAACUGACGCUCAUGCACGAAAGCGUGGGGAUCAAACAGGAUUAGAUACCCUGGUAGUCCACGCCGUAAACGAUGAUCACUCGAUGUUGGCGAUACACAGUCAGCGUCUUAGGGAAACUAUUAAGUGAUCCACCUGGGGAGUACGGUCGCAAGAUUGAAACUCAAAGGAAUUGACGGGGGCCCGCACAAGCGGAGGAGCAUGUGGUUUAAUUCGAUGAUACGCGAGGAACCUUACCUGGGCUCGAACGUGGAAUGACAGUCGCGGAAACGUGAUCUUCUUCGGACAUUCUACGAGGUGCUGCAUGGUUGUCGUCAGCUCGUGCCGUGAGGUGUCGGGUUAAGUCCCAUAACGAGCGCAACCCCUAUCUUUAGUUGCCAUCAGGUAAUGCUGGGGACUCUAAAGAAACUGCCUACGCAAGUAGUGAGGAAGGCGGGGAUGACGUCAAAUCAGCACGGCCCUUACGUCCAGGGCUACACACGUGCUACAAUGGCCGGUACAGAGGGCAGCUACCUGGUGACAGGAUGCAAAUCUCCAAAGCCAGUCUCAGUUCGGAUCGAAGUCUGAAACUCGACUUCGUGAAGUUGGAUUCGCUAGUAAUCGCGCAUCAGCCAUGGCGCGGUGAAUACGUUCCCGGGCCUUGUACACACCGCC